rnacentral:piRNA from 1 species
GAGAAAUGCAGGAAGGAGGUGUGUUAUGG